rnacentral:rRNA from 1 species
CCUGAAGUGGGGGAUAACCAUUGGAAGCGAUGGCUAAUACCGCAUAAUGCCUACGGGCCAAAGAGGGGGACCUUCGGGCCUCUCGCGUCAGGAUAUGCCUAGGUGGGAUUAGCUAGUUGGUGAGGUAAUGGCUCACCAAGGCGACGAUCCCUAGCUGGUCUGAGAGGAUGAUCAGCCACACUGGAACUGAGACACGGUCCAGACUCCUACGGGAGGCAGCAGUGGGGAAUAUUGCACAAUGGGCGCAAGCCUGAUGCAGCCAUGCCGCGUGUGUGAAGAAGGCCUUCGGGUUGUAAAGCACUUUCAGUCGUGAGGAAGGGUAGUGUAGUUAAUAGCUGUAUUAUUUGACGUUAGCGACAGAAGAAGCACCGGCUAACUCCGUGCCAGCAGCCGCGGUAAUACGGAGGGUGCGAGCGUUAAUCGGAAUUACUGGGCGUAAAGCGCAUGCAGGUGGUUUGUUAAGUCAGAUGUGAAAGCCCGGGGCUCAACCUCGGAAUUGCAUUUGAAACUGGCAGACUAGAGUACUGUAGAGGGGGGUAGAAUUUCAGGUGUAGCGGUGAAAUGCGUAGAGAUCUGAAGGAAUACCGGUGGCGAAGGCGGCCCCCUGGACAGAUACUGACACUCAGAUGCGAAAGCGUGGGGAGCAAACAGGAUUAGAUACCCUGGUAGUCCACGCCGUAAACGAUGUCUACUUGGAGGUUGUGGCCUUGAGCCGUGGCUUUCGGAGCUAACGCGUUAAGUAGACCGCCUGGGGAGUACGGUCGCAAGAUUAAAACUCAAAUGAAUUGACGGGGGCCCGCACAAGCGGUGGAGCAUGUGGUUUAAUUCGAUGCAACGCGAAGAACCUUACCUACUCUUGACAUCCAGAGAACUUUCCAGAGAUGGAUUGGUGCCUUCGGGAACUCUGAGACAGGUGCUGCAUGGCUGUCGUCAGCUCGUGUUGUGAAAUGUUGGGUUAAGUCCCGCAACGAGCGCAACCCUUAUCCUUGUUUGCCAGCGAGUAAUGUCGGGAACUCCAGGGAGACUGCCGGUGAUAAACCGGAGGAAGGUGGGGACGACGU